rnacentral:lncRNA from 1 species
GAACAGAUCCAGCCCAAAGGAUGUGCUAGGCUCUCACCAAGCCAGAGCCAUCUGAACCGAGGCUCCUCGUCUUUGGAAACUGUGUCCCUGGAAAUCUUAGGGGCCGAAAUGAAGAUGUGCUUACUUGAUCUAGGGGCAGUAGGGAGGAGCUACACAUGCAAAUAUGAUUUUACAAGUCAUACUACAGAAAGAAGAAUGCCUUUCCUGAUCUCCAAACAAAAGAGAACACCUGAACCCUCA